GAAGGCCUUCUCGCCAUCACCCUAAUCUUUAGAUUCUGGUAGAGACACCCCCAAAAGGUCAAUGUUCUUUGAAUUUGAAGUUAAAUUUGUCAAGGUAAUUAAUUGUUUUGAGUUUAACUUCAAAAGCAAUCUGGCACAAAUGACUGCAUAGAGAUGUAGCCCAAAGGAUGAUGACACAUUGGUGUAAAACAGAGAAUAUGAGACAAGCAGGAUAAAAGAACUUCAGAAAGUGACGUAAAAUGAUGCUGCACAACUGCAAGUAGCACAAACAAACUAAGCUUAAACAUGUCUACAUAAUUUGCUGUUGGUUGUGUAGUGUUUUUUUUUCUCUUUGUCUCUGCGUCCUUAUCUUCAAAAGGACAAAUAGGAGACCCAGAGGACUACAGUUUCAUAAUACAACUGUCUGAGGAAACAAUCAUUUAAUAAAAUUAACACUCCCUCACCAUCAGCUCCUCAUUCCAGUGAGGAUUCUUCAAAGAAGAAAACCAGGUGUGCUCAGCAUCUUUUUUGCUUUAGGGUAAUGAUGGGAAAGAAAAGCUACCCAUUACAGAAGGACACAAACAUAUUCAGGCUUCCUCUUCCCCCCCCCGACUACAUCUGUUCAGACUGAUGCUUAGUUGCUGUCAGCUUAACAAUUACCAGCCAAAUCUUUUCAUUCUAGAGUCUCAUGUUCAAACAAUAUGUAGUACAACUCAACACUAAGGUUGUAGUUACCUACAACAAUGUAUAACAUGCUGAGUUAUCCCACAUAGUGUCAGUCUAGAUCAGAUCACAGCUCUUCAAACUGUAUUCACAGCCAGGACCCAAAGUAACAGUCUUCUCUCCGUAACAGUCUGUCACACUGUUGGAGGGGAAUCUUGGCCUCCUCUCCUUUUCAAAGUUGCUUCAGGUCACUGAGGCUUUCAGCAGGACCUCGAUUCUCUUUCUUCUCAGACUCUCUUUUCUAAAUUGUGCUGCUGUGCUUGGUCUUAUUGCUCAGGCAGACUCUUGACUCCAAAACACGUUUUGCUCCGAGGUGAGAAUAUGUUCAACUCAGCAACUGCACAAUCCAAAGUCCCCGCAGCUCUGAAACAAGCCCAGAUCGUCACACCUCCACCCAUGGGCUUAAGUAGUGGCAUGUUUGCGCAGAUGGUGUGGGUCAUCUCUAAUCCUCUUUCUUUUCUUUUUGUUUACUUGUUAGCAGGGUUUUUGUUUUUUUUUGUUUUAAAUCGUUAUGUGAUCUCAACAUAUGAGGUUUUAAAGAAGUGCUAACUCGAUCUGCUAAGUGGAGCAGGUCUGAUUAGUAAUGGCCGGUUCUCACCUAGCCGGUACAUUUCCAAGACAGUCUGAGGGGUGAGUCUUAGUCUCCCUCCCUAAUUUUGGCCUAAUUUUUGUUCAAAUAUUAAUGACAGUGUAAUUUGUCAUGUUUUGUUCAUUUUAAGAUUCUUUUUAAACUAUUUUUGGCACUUGAUAGGGAUCUGGUGUUUUAUUAUUUAUUUACGCAAUGAAAUGUAAAACCCUAGACAGGAAAGAGUGUAUUUUUAUAGUUUUCCAUGGACACAGAACAUAUUAUCUGUAGAUAAACAUGAUCCCAUUUGACAGGCUCUGAAAAGAACAUAAGAUGACUCAUUUCGCCAUAUCGCUUAUUACUUCCACAUCUCUAUAGAGCACGGUUUAUGGUUUUUGCACCACUGAGCACUGAAUAUACAUGUUCCUCUUUGUUAUGAAGAGUUUAUACCCUGCUACUCUAUUGAAACAUGUAUCUCUUUGAAAUAUUUUAUGUAUUCUUCUCACUGACAUACUCAGUCGCAUCAGGAAAAGGUUGUUUUUUUUCCCCCCCGUCAUCCUGAUGUUUCGUACUAAUGCAUAAGCAUGAGAGCCCUCAAAUGUGUGCUUAUUGGCCGCAUUGUUUCACAUUACUCAAUAAUUCUGCAGAUAUAAACACAGAUCUCAAACAGCAAAAUGUAGACCCUUCCAGUCAAAUGCUAAAGCCCUUAUAGGAUGUUGCAGUCUAGACCAAUUAUAUAACUAUGUGAAGACUUGAUAAUUGAUGUUUGCAGAUGCGCUCCAUCCGAUCUCACAGAGUUGUCAGUCUCUGUGCAGAGACAUACAUCAGCACACCUGCAGCUGUAAUUGCAGUGAAAGGUGGUUCUACUAAGUAUUCACUCAACGGGGUUGAACACAAAUGCAUUCCACACCUUUUCAGAUUUUGAUUCAUAAAAUAUUUCCAAUCGUCUCACUUCCACUUGACAGUGCUGCGCUACUGUGCCUUUCACAUAAAACCUUAAUGAAAUACAUUGAGAUUUAUGGUGGCAACAUGACAAAGCGCAAUAGCAAUAUAAAACACGAAGCGGACAUAGUGCUGUUGUACGCACAGUGUGGUUCCUACUGCUGAUAUGAAAUGUGAAAAGUCUAGUGGCGGAGGGAGAAAGACGUUUCCAUUUAGCGAUGUGCCAUUUCAGUGAAAACUCAGAUAUGCAUGGAUGGCAGAGAGACAUUUUUGAGGCAUUGUGCAACUCCGCACUCUGCAGUCUCCCUCUCCGACUGGCUCUGAGUAAACAAUAAACACCAGGCUGCUCAGCACCUGUAAUCCUCCAACGACUCAAUCAACAUUUGUAAAGCUGCUCACACGAGGCUCACAUCCAAGACUGACUCGACCGGCUGUCGGUUGAGUUCCAGCCUCACCGCCGUCGUCUCCACAUCCUUUUUCUUUUGCGGCAACGCACCGAUGCCGCCCUGCUCUUGGUUCACCGAUCAGAGCAGGGGGGCCGUGCUCCCUCUGGUUUCAGGAGAGUCAGAGCUACGGACCCAUCCCCAACAUUAAAAACAUGCAGCAUCACUACGCAACAACAACCCACCCCUCCCAGGCCUUGUUGCUUAUUCACUCAGAGAUACAUGUGUCUACAAAGCUGACUCCUUCAUCCACUGUCAGCGAAGCUCCCUCGGGAUUUGCCGCCUGCGCCUCGGUCUUUGCCUGUCUGUCUUUUUCACCUUAACCCCUUACUUGCUCUCAUCGUUUUCUCUUUAAAACAAUUUUUUUUUUAAAUAACCUGCCAAACCAGCCCUUAAUUUCCAACUUUGCCCGAUUAGAAAAUCACGGUUUGCAUUUGGGAAUUGUCACUUUUUGUGCCUCAUAUGUUAAUAAGUGAGCAUAAUACAAUAAGCCUGUUCUCCGUUGAGGCUGUUGCCUUGUGCGGGAGGGACACGCCGGCUGUCACACCUCCUCUAAGUCACGCUCCAACAAAGACACCCGAAUUAGACGGUUACGUCAGAUCUUGUGAUUUGAUGAACGCUCGGUUUAGACUUGUGCGAAGAAACUUGUCUUUACCCCCGAAGGCGGGAAAAAAAAAAAGACAAAACUAUCCAGCCAACAGUCUAAUCUGCGGUGCCACCAAGAGACAAAUCCUGGAGCUGCUCCAUUGGCAGUAGCCGGACACUGUGACAGAAUGAAGGAUUUUGCUCAUUUUCUGUUUCAAAACUGUUUGCGCACACAAGAGAAAAGAUCAAACACAUAUUCAGCUAUCCGAAAGCAAUGUGUGCUCAUAGAUGUUAGCAAAGGUCCUGCAUAUCAGAGGAUUUUACUGGCUAACUUUCUGCAAGCACUUUCACCACAAAAUGAAAACCUACAGCGCCUUGCAGAAGAAUUAAUACUUGUUGACUUUGACUGGACCACUUUAAAACAUGAAUACACUUUGAUCUAAACCAGUCAAAUCAAAGCUCUGGGUCUAUUUUUAUGGUCAUAGUCUUGCUGUAAACCUCCACCUCAGUCUUCUAACAGGUUUUUCUGUAGGAUUUUCUGUAGAAUUGUCCUGGAUUUUUCUCUAUCCAGCUUGAGAUCAACCCUUUCCAGCCUCUGCAAUCUUUUGUUUGUAGAUUUACAAACAAAAGCUUCCCCACAUUAUAAUGCUGCGAUCAACGGGUUUCACGACAGGAAUGCAUGUCGCCACAACAACGCCUUUCCAUUAAGCCAUUCACAACCGAUAGGAGCAACGGACUGAGAACUAGUUGGUAUGACAAGCUCAGGAAACUCAGGACCAGGCAUUUGCUAAUUGCUGCUGCUGCUAGUCUGAAGGAGCUGAGUGUGGCAGUUGCUCUGCUGUGCACUACAGCUCCAAGGCAGAGCUGCGUGGAAACAGGUGGUGCUUUGUGAGUCCGAGCGUGUAGGCACCCUUGAUUGGCUACCACCAGAGAUCCAAGGAUGACAAAAGCAUGCAUGGAUGAGUCAAAACAAAACUCUAGGCAUGUUUUUGAUGAAUGAAUGACAACAUGAUACAAAGUUU